AGUUGAUCCUGCUGGAGAUUACGGCUCUCUGGUUUGUCCUAAGACAUGCAAGUCAUUUUUUUGAUUCUUCGGAAUUAGGGAAAGGCGAACUGCUCAGUAACACGUAGCUAACCUACACUUAAGUCAAGGAUACCCUCGGGAAACUGAGGCUAAUACUUGAUGGAAGACUUACCCUGGAAAGAUUUGUCUUUUAAACUCGUGCUUAAGAAUGGGGCUGCGGCGGAUUAGGUUGUUGGCGGGGUAAUAGCCCACCAAGCCGACGAUCCGUAAGGGCUCUUAGCGGAGGGGCCCUGAGAGGGAAUCUGAGACACUAUUCCCAGCCUUACGGGGUGCAGCAGUUAAGUAUAAUCUACAAUGCGCGAAAGCGUGAUAGUUUGAGCCAGAGUGCUAUUCUUUUGAAUAGCUUUUAUUGAAUGUAAAAAGUUCAACGAAUAAGGACUGGGUAAGACAGGUGCCAGCCGCCGCGGUAAUACCUGCGGUCCAAGUCGUAAUCACUUUUAUUAGGUCUAAAACAUCCGUAGCUUGCUUUGUAAGUCCCUUGUGAAAUCCGGUAUCUUAAGUAUCGGGCGGGCAGGGGAUACUGCAUAGCUAGAGACUGGAAGACGUAAGAAGUAUGUUUGGAGUAGCGGUCAAAUGUGUUAAUCCCAAGCAGACUCACAACAGCGAAGGCAUCUUACGAGGACAGUUCUGACAGUAAGGGAUGAAGGCUAGGGGCGCAAAAGGGAUUAGAUACCCCUGUAGUCCUAGCAGUAAACACUGCACACUAAACAUUAGUACCUCCUCGAGAGGUAUUGGUGCUGUAGGGAAGCCGAAGAGUGUGCUACCUGGGAAGUAUAGUCGCAAGGCUGAAACUUAAAGGAAUUGGCGGCGAGACACUACAACGAGUGACGCGUGCGGUUCAAUUAGAUUAUACACCGUGAACCUCACCAGGAGCGACAGCAGAAUGAAGGUCAGUCUGAAGGGCUUACCUGACACGCUGAGAGGGGUAGCAUGGCCGACGUCAGCCUGUGUUGUGAGAUGACCUGUUAAAUCAGGUAACAGGCGAGACCCACAUGCAUAUUUAAAUUCUAUAUGCAGAUUGCCAUUGUAAAAUGGAUGAAAGUGUGGGCUACGUUAGGUGGGUACGGCCCUAAUCCCCUGGGCUACACGCGCGCGUCAAUGGCGAAUACAAUGGGAUGCAACUCCGAAAGGAGAAGCUAAUCUCUUAAAAUUCGUCUUAGUUCAGGUUGAGGUUUGUAACUCAGCCUCAUGACGCUGGAAUUCGUAGUAAUCGGAUUUUAUCAGAGUCCGGUGAAUCUGUCCCUGUCUCGUGUACACACUGCCCGUCAAACCAACCAAGUUUAGUUAUGGUGAAACUUUUCGAAGGAGAACUUUGGCUAGACAAGGUAGGUUAAGUCGGCACAAGGUA
rnacentral:rRNA from 1 species